rnacentral:piRNA from 1 species
UGCCACUGUUACAUCUUUAAGGUUACGACA